rnacentral:rRNA from 1 species
ACGAACGCUGGCGGCGUGCCUAACACAUGCAAGUCGAGCGGAUGUAGCAAUACAUCAGCGGCAAACGGGUGAGUAACACGUAAGCAACCUACCUCCAAGACUGGGAUAACCCGCCGAAAGGCGGGCUAAUACCAGAUGUGUCAAGCGAAACGCAUGUUUUGCUUGAUAAAUCCCGCAAGGGGCUUGAAGACGGGCUUGCGUCCUAUCAGCUAGUUGGCGGGGUAACGGCCCACCAAGGCUAUGACGGGUAGCUGGUCUGAGAGGACGACCAGUCACAAGGGAACUGAGACACGGUCCCUACUCCUACGGGAGGCAGCAGUGAGGAAUUUUCCGCAAUGGGCGAAAGCCUGACGGAGCGACGCCGCGUGUGGGAUGAAGUUUUUCGGAAUGUAAACCACUGUCAGCGGGGACGAUAUUGACAGUACCCGCAGAGGAAGGCCCGGCUAACUACGU